rnacentral:rRNA from 1 species
UAAAUUGAGAGUUUGAUCCUGGCUCAGGAUGAACGCUGGCGGCGUGCUUAACACAUGCAAGUCGAGCGAUGAAGUUUCCUUCGGGAAACGGAUUAGCGGCGGACGGGUGAGUAACACGUGGGUAACCUGCCUC